GAUGGAGAAAGCAGCGACGACAGCUUGCUCUCUGGUUUCAGCGAGGGGCACGACUUCAGCCCUCGUCCACCGAAACCUUGCUGCACCCAGACUACACCGGCUAUGAUGAUUGUGACAUGCGUUGCAAGCAUGACAUGCCCAUGUACAAGUAUGUGUGCUUCGAAGGUGCAAACACCGGGAGGAGAUUUCUUGGAUGUGGAAUGAAGGAGGAAGAGAUGUGUGACAAAAUCCAUUGGGUUGAUGGUGAAUGGCCAUCUACAAUGAAGAUGU